GAUGAACGCUAGCGGCAGGCCUAAUACAUGCAAGUCGAGGGGCAGCACGGUAGCAAUACUGGUGGCGACCGGCGCACGGGUGCGUAACGCGUAUGCAACUUACCCUUUACAGGGAGAUAGCCCGGAGAAAUUCGGAUUAAUAUCCCAUAGUAUAUAGAUUUGGCAUCAGAUUUAUAUUAAAGAUUUAUCGGUAAAGGAUGGGCAUGCGUGUCAUUAGCUAGUUGGUGAGGUAAUGGCUCACCAAGGCGACGAUGACUAGGGGUACUGAGAGGUUACACCCCCACACUGGUACUGAGACACGGACCAGACUCCUACGGGAGGCAGCAGUAAGGAAUAUUGGACAAUGGGCGAGAGCCUGAUCCAGCCAUGCCGCGUGCAGGAUGACGGUCCUAUGGAUUGUAAACUGCUUUUGUAUGGGAAUAAACCCAGUUACGUGUAUCUGGCUGAAUGUACCAUAAGAAUAAGGAUCGGCUAACUCCGUGCCAGCAGCCG
rnacentral:rRNA from 1 species